UACAGAGGUCGUCAAGCGUUGUUCGGAUUCAUUGGGCGUAAAGGGCGCGUAGGCGGCGGGGUCAGUCGGGUGUGAAAUCUUGGGGCUUAACCCCGAAACGGCACUCGAAACUGCCCGGCUGGAGGGCCGGAGAGGAGAUCGGAAUCACGGUGUAGCAGUGAAAUGCGUAGAGAUCGUGAGGAAGACCGUGGCGAAGGCGGAUCUCCUGGACGGCUAACUGACGCUGAGGCGCGAAGGCCAGGGAGCAAACGGG
rnacentral:rRNA from 1 species